UGGGGAAUAUUGCACAAUGGGCGCAAGCCUGAUGCAGCCAUGCCGCGUGUAUGAAGAAGGCCUUCGGGUUGUAAAGUACUUUCAGCGAGGAGGAAGGCGUUGUGGUUAAUAACCGCAGCGAUCGACGUUACUCGCAGAAGAAGCACCGGCUAACUCCGUGCCAGCAGCCGCGGUAAUACGGAGGGUGCAAGCGUUAAUCGGAAUUACUGGGUGUAAAGCGCACGCAGGCGGUCUGUCAAGUCGGAUGUGAAAUCCCCGGGCUCAACCUGGGAACUGCAUCCGAAACUGGCAGGCUAGAGUCUUGUAGAGGGGGGUAGAAUUCCAGGUGUAGCGGUGAAAUGCGUAGAGAUCUGGAGGAAUACCGGUGGCGAAGGCGGCCCCCUGGACAAAGACUGACGCUCAGGUGCGAAAGCGUGGGGAGCAAACA
rnacentral:rRNA from 1 species